rnacentral:rRNA from 1 species
GACGAACGCUGGCGGCGUGCUUAACACAUGCAAGUCGAACGGAAAGGCCCUGCUUUUGUGGGGUGCUCGAGUGGCGAACGGGUGAGUAACACGUGAGUAACCUGCCCUUGACUUUGGGAUAACUUCAGGAAACUGGGGCUAAUACCGGAUAGGAGCUCCUGCUGCAUGGUGGGGGUUGGAAAGUUUCGGCGGUUGGGGAUGGACUCGCGGCUUAUCAGCUUGUUGGUGGGGUAGUGGCUUACCAAGGCUUUGACGGGUAGCCGGCCUGAGAGGGUGACCGGCCACAUUGGGACUGAGAUACGGCCCAGACUCCCACGGGAGGCAGCAGUGGGGAAUAUUGCACAAUGGGCGGAAGCCUGAUGCAGCAACGCCGCGUGCGGGAUGACGGCCUUCGGGUUGUAAACCGCUUUCGCCUGUGACGAAGCAUGAGUGACGGUAAUGGGUAAAGAAGCACCGGCUAACUACGUG